AGCGACAGGCCCCACCCCCUGGCAACGGCCCGGGGGGCGGUGCCGGCUCUCUCCCCUUAGCGACAGGCCCCGCCCCCCGGCAACGGCCCGAGCCUGUGUUUGCUCCGCUCGGGGGGGGGCUCGGUUUGGGUGUUUUCUCUCCCCCCCCCCUCCCGCGCCGGGAGCUCCAGGCGGCUCCCGUACGGCUCCCGGGGCCUUCCCCCCUCGGGGGGCUCGGCCCGCCCCUUUCGCGGGGCGCUGUGGGAAGGGCGGGGGCGGGGCCCGGGGGUCGAAGAGCCCCAGCCGGGGCUCGGGCAGCUCUCGCUGCCCCCGGGCUCCUCUGGCGCCGGGGCUCCCGUGUUCCCUCGGGCGGUCGCAGCUCUGGGGCUGUCUCAGCCCCCCGGGCAGGCGUGCUCUGGCGUUUAGAGAAGCGGAGGCGUUGCCUGAGGGCAACUUCUGUUCCCGAGGUGGUGCCUACAGUACAGCUAUCUCUUCGAAGGCAGUUUGGUUUAGGUCAGAGAAUGUUUAGCCUGGACUGAAUCAGCCUCUGUUUCUAUUUCUGGAAAUCGUCGGUCCUGUGCAUCAAGCCCGGAAAAAAGGAAAUAUGAACCAAAGGACCUGGGGCCUGCAGGGCUAGGAAAAUAUUUGAGAAGAGGUUCAGCGGGGAAAUGACUGUUUGUCUGUGGGGCGUCCAGGCAAGCAACCCAGCUGCUAGAAAGCGGCGCUGUCCCCAGGAUGGCCUCGGCGGUCCCGUCGGAGUCGGGGGAACAAGGACAAGGCAGGGUGAAGCAUCUGGCCUGCUGUGUGGACCGUGACUGUACAAAGCACGUGUGAUGCACUGCAAGUUUACCUGUUUAAACUGUGAGUUAAAGAAGGUGUGCAGUUGCUUUGUAAACAGCCGACGCUCUAAAGCUACACCCAUCUAAUUGCUAGCUGUAUUAAAUCUAUCGUAUUGCUGUUUCUGCAUUAAAAAAUAAAUAAAAAAAAACCACAACAAACCUAUGUAAGCACUUCUAAGUACAAUGGAAAACCACUGUUUAA